CUGUAAGCCUGUGAAGGUGUACUGUGAGGUAUGCUGGAGGUAUCAGAAGUGCGAAUGCUGACAUAAGUAACGAUAAAGCGGGUGAAAAGCCCGCUCGCCGGAAGACCAAGGGUUCCUGUCCAACGUUAAUCGGGGCAGGGUGAGUCGACCCCUAAGGCGAGGCCGAAAGGCGUAGUCGAUGGGAAACAGGUUAAUAUUCCUGUACUUGGUGUUACUGCGAAGGGGGGACGGAGAAGGCUAUGUUGGCCGGGCGACGGUUGUCCCGGUUUAAGCGUGUAGGCUGGUUUUCCAGGCAAAUCCGGAAAAUCAAGGCUGAGGCGUGAUGACGAGGCACUACGGUGCUGAAGCAACAAAUGCCCUGCUUCCAGGAAAAGCCUCUAAGCAUCAGGUAACAUCAAAUCGUACCCCAAACCGACACAGGUGGUCAGGUAGAGAAUACCAAGGCGCUUGAGAGAACUCGGGUGAAGGAACUAGGCAAAAUGGUGCCGUAACUUCGGGAGAAGGCACGCUGAUAUGUAGGUGAAGUCCCUCGCGG
rnacentral:rRNA from 1 species